UGGAACCAGCCUGGGGGGCAGGGCAUCCCUGAGGUUGAGCGGGUAGAACGUGGCAGGGGAGACAGUGAGCGUCUCUCUUUCUUCCUUUGGCCUAAUUCAGGCCCAUCCUGUUCAUCCUGGCUGGGAGUGCCCGCCUGCUCCUGAAGCCGAACCUGUCAGCCAAGCCCACGCCCACGCCUUCCUGCUCUGCUGGGGAUAGGAAAGGGCACGUUCCAGGAAACACUGCCCCACUUGGCAGGGGGAGGGCGUCCACAGAGAGCAGUGCUUUGCAGAAACGCCGCUCCUCUUCCCUGCCUUUCUCCAUCCUAGAGGGGCCUGAGGUUGGGGGCUCAGGGGGCUCUGCUAUCCAGGGGUGAGAAAUGAGACUGCUCCCCCAUACCCCCAAAUAAUCCUGACUCAAAGCGAUCACUGUCAGUUUCAGACCGCAGCAGCCCAGCUGGUACCCCUUCUCUGUCCUGUCAGUUUCAGACCGCAGCAGCCCAGCUGAUACCCCUUCUCUGUCCCUCCCUCUUGCCUCUUCUGUCCCUCACCUCCUCCAGCCCCAUACUCUGACUUCUGCCUGUUUGGGGAGUUCGGCUCCGAGCUCUCCUCCCCACACCCCACACCCCACACCGGGACAGCAGAAGCAGGGAGGAAAGUCAAAGCCAGGAAGAGCUGGAGUCAAGACAUUAAGAAGAUGACAAUCCCUAGAGAUUCUGAUCCACCCUGUUCUUCAAGGGAAGACACAGAGAGCAGACUCCUCCCUAAGUCUUUAACCAAUUGGUGAACCAUGGACAUGGUGUAGGCCAUAGAGGUUAAUGGCACCGGCUCUGAGUCAAGACGACCAGGGACAAGUUAUCCAAUCCCUCUAAGCCGAAGGUUCCCUAGCUACAAAACGGGAGAUGAUUACGUUUCCUCCUCAUGGGCCUACCUCCAGAAGGGCCCAACAAAUGCUCCCCAUUACUGUUAUUAGUACCCAGAAAAUAAAACAACUGGAACCUGGUGCUAUGCCUCUAUAGCCUUGGGGGAAACUCCACCGCGCUUGUCAUCCUCAACUUCAAAACCCUCCCCUGGUAACAAGACUGGAAUGAUGUCUUGGACCUGAAGGUUCUGGGU